rnacentral:rRNA from 1 species
GAGUUUGAUCCUGGCUCAGGAUGAACGCUGGCGGCGUGCUUAACACAUGCAAGUCGAACGAAGCGAUUGGGAGGAAGUUUUCGGAUGGAAUCUUAAUUGACUGAGUGGCGGACGGGUGAGUAACGCGUGGGUAACCUGCCUCAUACAGGGGGAUAACAGUUAGAAAUGACUGCUAAUACCGCAUAAGCGCACGGGGAUGCAUGUUUCUGUGUGAAAAACUCCGGUGGUAUGAGAUGGACCCGCGUCUGAUUAGCUGGUUGGCGGGGUAACGGCCCACCAAGGCGACGAUCAGUAGCCGACCUGAGAGGGUGACCGGCCACAUUGGGACUGAGACACGGCCCAAACUCCUACGGGAGGCAGCAGUGGGGAAUAUUGCACAAUGGGGGAAACCCUGAUGCAGCAACGCCGCGUGAGUGAAGAAGUAUUUCGGUAUGUAAAGCUCUAUCAGCAGGGAAGAAAAUGACGGUACCUGAGUAAGAAGCCCCGGCUAACUACGUGCCAGCAGCCGCGGUAAUACGUAGGGGGCAAGCGUUAUCCGGGUUUACUGGGUGUAAAGGGAGCGUAGACGGCGUUGCAAGUCUGAAGUGAAAGCCCGGGGCUCAACCCCGGGACUGCUUUGGAAACUGUAAUGCUGGAGUGCUGGAGAGGCAAGCGGAAUUCCUAGUGUAGCG